rnacentral:rRNA from 1 species
AGCGGAGGAAAAGAAAAUAACAAUGAUUCCCCUAGUAACUGCGAGUGAAGAGGGACAAGCUCAAAUUUUAAAUCCAUCGGGUUUUACCUGAUCGAGUUGUAAUUUGAAGAAGCGUUUUCUGCGUAUUUGAUCAGCUUAAGUCCUAUUGAAUGAGGCAUCAUGGAGGGUGAUAAUCCCGUCCGGUUGAUCAUUUGCGUUUUACGAUACGCUUUCUAAGAGUCAAGUUGUUUGGGAUUGCAGCUUAAAAUGGGAGGUAAAUUUCUCCUAAGGCUAAAUAACGGCGAGAGACCGAUAGCGAACAAGUACCGUGAGGGAAAGAUGAAAAGAACUUUGAAAAGAGAGUUAAACAGUACGUGAAAUUGUUGAAAGGGAAACGAUUGAAGCCAGUCGUACCUUCGGGUAAUCAGCCUUUCGGGUGCGAUUCUGUGGAGUUUGAGGAGCUUAACACCUUCAUGCUUUGCAUAUUCGUGCUCUUGGGUGUACUUGCCCGUGUGGUUGGUUAACAUCAAUUUCGGGCACCAUAAAAUGGCUGGAGGAAUGUAGCUUCGAUCUUGUAUUGAAGUGUUAUAGCCUUCGGUAGAUGUGGUGAUCGAGAUUGAGGAUUGCAACGGAUACCUUUCGGGGCUACCUGUCUGAUCUCUGAUCGUUGCUUUGGUGCUGAAAGCGUGCUUAUAGUUAUCAAAGUCGAUGGUUAAUAGGUUAGAAUGGGUUAAAUUCGUUAAGGAUGUUGACGUAAUGGCUUUAAACGACCCGUCUUGA